GGUCCCGUCGAGGAGCAGCGGCUGGAGGAGCGCCACGGGGACCUGAGGGCCACGGGGCGGCGGGGGGGCGACCGGGAGCCGCCGGGUCUCACCGCCCCCACGGGUGACGGGCGCUGGCCGGCCACCCGGAACUGCCCCACGGCCAACUCCUGGCCCCAGCGGAGGCAGCACAAGGCCUGGGCGGGGACCCCACGGGGGCUGCGGGGGUUGGGAAACAGGGCCUGAAAGGGUGGCCUGUCCCGACCUUUCCUUCGAACGUCGGGGUGAAGCGGGGACCCCGAGGUGCUCACCAGCCCCGCCCAAGGUGCACGGCAGCUGCUCGCCCGGGCAAAGUGACAACGCCGAUGAUAAGGACGGCCCGGGGUCACACCCCCACAGAUAAAACAAGACGCCUCACGCCUGCACCCAUGAGGAAAAAAGCCACGUGCUCACACAGGCCGGUUACUGAAUAACGACAGGGAGGUGCCACCUCACAGUGGGGACGCCUGUGGCACACUGCUAAACCAGCCGACCCAAGUCUGCCCCCAAGACCAGCGGACACCAGGCGCCUGGUGCCAGGACACGUCACCGACACCGCCUGCCCUCUGGGCCUUUCCCGCCACCGCGGGGCCCCGCCGGACAGGGCCCACGCACGGCUGCCCGCGCUCCAUCCACUGAGCUAUGCCAGCCAAGUGGUCUGCAUUCUUACAAAGCAUCUAUGCAGCAACGAAGGAGGAGGGGCCGAUGGCUCCGAGGGAGAAGGCUCCAGAGGGGACGCAGCGUGUGGCCCCCGGUUAAACCCUGGACCCGAAGGUCAGUCUCCGAAGCACCACAACAGGAUGAGCCUGGUGCUGGAGCCCAGUUUCCUGAUGUUGGCUCCUACACUGUCACCACGUGACAGCCCUGGUUCUCAAGAACAAGAAAUAAAUAAAUAAAAUCUUUAAAAAAAGAAAAAAAAGAACAAGGUAUUGGAGGUGAAGGAGUGCGUUAGCUCCAACUUCUCUCAAAUGCAUCAGGAAGAACCACGUAGUCCGCACGCCGAGAGAGCAACCCGGCAAAAACUCCUGGCAGAGCGAGGACAAAGCUACCGGAGUCCUUGCGCUGUUCCGGCCAUGUUUCUGCCACUUCAA